GGGGCCGACCGGUUUCGACAGGGGUGCUGAAACUCCAGGUGCGUACCGAGGUGCAGGUUACCUCGUUAAACUGACUUGCAAACUCAUAGUUGCCAACGAAGACAACUACGCUCUAGCCGCCUAAUCGCGGCUGAACCUCGACC
rnacentral:tmRNA from 1 species